rnacentral:miRNA from 1 species
GAUCGCAUCGUGAGAGGCUAAGG